UACGUAGGGUGCAAGCGUUAAUCGGAAUUACUGGGCGUAAAGCGUGCGCAGGCGGUUUUGUAGGUCUGAUGUGAAAGCCCCGGGCUCAACCUGGGAAUUGCAUUCGAGACUGAAUAGCUAGGGUACGGUAGAGGGAAGCGGAAUUUCCGGUGUAGCGGUGAAAUGCGUAGAUAUCGGAAGGAACAUCAGUGGCGAAAGCGGCUUCCUGGACCAGUACCGACGUUCAGGCACGAAAGCGUGGGGAGCAAACAGG
rnacentral:rRNA from 1 species